CACAUCACUGUUAGAGGAAUUCA
rnacentral:piRNA from 1 species